GACAGAGGGUGCAAACGUUGUUCGGAAUUACUGGGCGUAAAGCGUGUGUAGGCGGCUACAUAAGUCGGAUGUGAAAGCCCCGGGCUCAACCCGGGAAGUGCACUCGAUACUGCGUAGCUUGAGUCUCGGAGAGGUUGGUGGAAUUCUCGGUGUAGAGGUGAAAUUCGUAGAUAUCGAGAGGAACACCGGUGGCGAAGGCGGCCAACUGGACGAAGACUGACGCUGAGGCGCGAAAGCUAGGGGAGCAAACAGG
rnacentral:rRNA from 1 species